UCGAAAGAUGAAAAGCACUUUGAAAAGAGGGUUAAAAAGCACGUGAAAUUGUUGAAAGGGAAGCGCUUGUGACCAGACUUGCGCCGGGCUGAUCAUCCGGUGUUCUCACCGGUGCACUCGGCCCGGCACAGGCCAGCAUCGGUUCUCGCGGGGGGAUAAAGGUCCCGGGAACGUAGCUCCUCCGGGAGUGUUAUAGCCCGGGGCGUAAUGCCCUCGCGGGGACCGAGGUUCGCGCAUCUGCAAGGAUGCUGGCGUAAUGGUCAUCAGCGACCCGUCUUGAAACACGGACCAAGAAA
rnacentral:rRNA from 1 species